rnacentral:rRNA from 1 species
UACGUAGGGGGCGAGCGUUGUCCGGAUUUAUUGGGCGUAAAGAGCUCGUAGGCGGCUCGUUGCGUCGGCUGUGAAAACCCGCAGCUCAACUGUGGGCUUGCAGCUGAUACGGGCGGGCUGGAGUUCGGUAGGGGAGACUGGAAUUCCUGGUGUAGCGGUGAAAUGCGCAGAUAUCAGGAGGAACACCGGUGGCGAAGGCGGGUCUCUGGGCCGAUACUGACGCUGAGGAGCGAAAGCGUGGGGAGCGAACAGG